CCCCUCUCAGGGUCGCACCUGGAGAUUUUCCAGUACUGUACCAGUCUCGACUAUGCGAGGGAGAGUCAAGCAGAGGCUUACCCAUUCCAUUUCUAGCUUGAGCAGUGGCUAGCGAGUGGAAGGCAAUCUGCUACAAAU
rnacentral:snoRNA from 1 species